CGCGGCCGGCGGGGCGGGGCCAGGGGGGGAACGCGAAGAACCUUACCUGGCCUUGACAUAGUAAGAACUUUCUAAAGAGGGAUUGGUGCCUUCGGGAACUUACAUACAGGUGCUGCAUGGCUGUCGUCAGCUCGUGUCGUGAGAUGUUGGGUUAAGUCCCGCAACGAGCGCAACCCUUUUCCUUAUUUGCCAGCGAGUAAUGUCGGGAACUUUAAGGAUACUGCCAGUGACAAACUGGAGGAAGGCGGGGACGACGUCAAGUCAUCAUGGCCCUUACGGCCAGGGCUACACACAUGCUACAAUGGUCGGUACAAAGGGUUGCUACACAGCGAUGUGAUGCUAAUCUCAAAAAGCCCAUCGUAGUCCGGAUUGGUGUCUGCAACUCGACUCCCUGAAGUCGGAAUCGCUGGUAAUCGC
rnacentral:rRNA from 1 species